UACAGAGGGUGCGAGCGUUAAUCGGAAUUACUGGGCGUAAAGGGUGCGUAGGUGGUUUUGUAAGUUAGAUGUGAAAUUCCUGGGCUUAACCUGGGGACUGCGUCUGAUACUGCGAAGCUAGAGUACUGUAGAGGGAAGUGGAAUUUCCGGUGUAGCAGUGAAAUGCGUAGAUAUCGGAAGGAACAUCAGUGGCGAAGGCGACUUUCUGGACAGAUACUGACACUGAGGCACGAAAGCGUGGGGAGCAAACAGG
rnacentral:rRNA from 1 species